UAUUAUAAUUACACCACCUGAUUGUGUCCCCACCCCCAAAAGGAAAGUAUAAUAUAAAAUAGAGAAAAACAUCAACAGGAUAUUAAUAAUAACUUCUCUCUGGACUUCCCUAAGAGAAAGUUGGACAAAACUAUUAAAUCACUAUUACUUUUAUCAAAGCCAAUACUGUUGACAAGAUGCAAGAAAGUGGACGAAUACAUAUAGCAUCCUCACAAGCACCUUUCAAGCCCUUUUCAAGCAGUGAAGUUAGCCCUGGUUCCAACAAGUAUCAGUGACUCGGUUGUUCGAGAAAGCUUUUUGCUUGUUGUGAGUCCACAACUGAAGUUCCAUAUGCUCCCAUCAGUCCAAAACCUCUUGCAAAGUUGUACCUGCAAAGUUAUAGUUUGCACAAUAAUGAACAGGGAGCACUUGAGAAAUGUACAACAUAUUGGUUAAGGAAAAAGAUGCUAUAUCUGAAUUGGCUGAGGAAGACUGGAAUAUAAGAAAUUCACACACCGGGUUUACAGGUGUGAAUUUUUUCGUCACAAAUGACGCCAACAGUCAAUAGAACGAACAAUCCAAACUUUAACACCACGUUAUCAAUUCCAAAUACUUGCUACAGCUCAAUGACACCUUCCUAACUUUGAUCUAGUCCAGAGCAUAGUUGGGUCAACAUUGACAGUGAGGGCAAUCAAGUUGCUAGUCUAAAUUAGGAAUGAUGCAAUCAUUUUGGACACCACCAAUCACCUAGAUUUAAGGGAAAAAAGAAAACCAAAAACUUGAAUACUUAGAUGCAUUAUAAUUGAUCUCUGCGCCCUCUGAACAUUGUUAUCUCUAUCCUCAUUAUUCCAUUAUCUAUGCUGCAACACUAUAAACUGGAAAAUUACCAGAGGAGUAAAUUCCUCCAUCUACCACUUCAAAUAUCUCAGGCUUUUUAGCUCGGCAUUUGCAGAUCUGUUAGCCAUUAGAAACUUGAAGUCUGCUUGCUUCACGCUUAAUCCAUAGGUAAACCUACUAAUGUUACAGAACAACAAUACCAAGAGUUCUCAAUCUAAG
rnacentral:lncRNA from 1 species